CAGAUACUCACCUCAUGUUAUCCAUAAUAGGUUACAAGACGGCUGGAACAGCUGGAUGAAAGGCCUCCCUGCAUGAUAGACCAUCCAGGUUUAGAACCGGUUUGUCUGAAUGUGUUCUCGCUGCAGAACGCAUGCAACAUCUACAGCGCUGACUACGGUCCUUUGCGACUACGGGGGAUAGAGCAGUUAGUUUUACAUAUAAUAACCUACUUGACUGUUCAUACACAAUCAACUAAAUAAAGUCAGACAAAGCCACAAUUUCACAUCAUAUUUUAACAUAGCCAAUUUUUUCAUAAGCAGAUACUGCAUAUUACGCAUUAAUUCACAUAAAACAUUGUACAGAUACAAUAACAGGGAUGCAAACACAUGUAUGACAAAAAAAAGGAGCUACCCGAAGUCGGAAAAAAUAUGACGGCAUGAUAUCCUAUUAUCAUGAGAAGGCCUAUGCUAUAUGCUAUAUGCCUAGAAAGAUAAAAAAUAUAUAUUAGUUACUCAGUUAAAGUGCCUUUUUAAACUAAGUAAAUUUAUUUUCACACACACACAAACACACACCUCUGCAUUGGAUAUGCGAUCACAUCUGCUGAUCUUAUCUGCUGCUUAGGGGGUUUCUGAAAGAGGAGAAGCUGUGCAACACUUUGUGUAGUUAUUGUUGUUGUCACUUUCCUCCGAUGAAUGUCUGCCUCACCCGGGGAUUCCACCGGACGCGUUUUUACGGCAACGUUAGGGCCCUAGGCGGCUGCAUGCUUCAGCGUUGGUGUUACGUUGUUGCGCAAAAUUUACUCAAAGCAAUUCAUGCUCCCUUUUAGGUUGCGCGUGUUGCGCGUGUUGCCAAGCAAUUUACCGCCAGAACAGUAGGUGGAGUAAUAUGUGGAGUAAAGUUUUUCGUUGAAGACGACCUCGAGAAUGACGUCUUUGUCUGUGGGAGUCGUUGGUUUGUUUAUGUGCCAAAGUUUGAUGAUCUCCUUUCGCGAGUCAUCCGAUAUCUUCCCGACUCUCACCAAAACCGGCCCUUAUCAGGGAGCAGCUGGCAGAUUAUUUUUUGUCAGAUGCUGGCGUGUUUCCCCACCAGUACAAUGUGCUACGAUUGGGUAUGCGCACUGACCAAUAAAUAUAUAUACAUUGGUCAGUGCGCAUACCCAAUCGUAGCACAUUGUACUGGUGGGGAAACACGCCAGCAUCUGACAAAAAAUAAUCUGCCAGCUGCUCCCUGACAAGGGCCGGUUUUGGUGAGUCUGGAAGAUAUCGGAUGACUCGCGAAAGGAGAUCAUCAAACAUCCGAAAAUACUGGAAAUGCCUCUCCUCGUCCAUGCUUCGCAUUGGAAGCACCAGAGAAACAAAUUCCCCAUCCUGAUCUCGUGUGGUAUUUAAAGGGCGCACAUACCACCGCCUAUCUCUGCGCUUCAUCACUCUUCUUCCGUAGCCACUUUGAUCGGAACGUCACCUGGAACGUCCCCCCGCGAAAACACCGGUGACUCUGCUGCCACCUAUGGCGUGAGUGGUGUAUUGCAUGUCAUGCAUUGCCCGCGACGUUCGCGUAUGCUGUGUAGACU
ensembl:lncRNA